rnacentral:tRNA from 1 species
UCUAAUAUGGCAGAUUAGUGCAAUGGUCUUAAACUCCAUACAUAAAGUCAAAACUUUUUUUAGAA